CUCUCCUCCCGGGUCUGCGCGGACGCGGCCUCCUUACCUCAUUUGUCCUCGCCCCUCCCCGUCCCUCUACGCGUUUUGGUCCCUGUUUGGUGCUUUCUGUUUGCAGCUACGGCAGUGAGCCCCCAGUCUUCUAGGGAAGCCAGUCAGUGAAGCGCGGAGGUCCGGGCGCGCCGAGAGAGAGUCCAGUCUUUGAGGACCGAGUAGUCCUGGGCCACCUCCCGCCUCUGCUGUCAGAAGCAGCAGCUGCCGCCGUGGAAUCCAAAAUUUCGGGAGCUGUGACCCUUUCCUCAUGUAAAACGAGUAGUCUUGGACGGCUGGAGUGUAGUGGCGUGAUCAUAGCUCACUGUCAACUUUGAACACUUGGGCUCAAGCUAUCCUCCCUCAGCCUCCCAAGGUGGGAGGUACAGAUCUGGGCAUAGGAACCAAUCAGAAACAAUCGCUUCAGCAAUCAAGACCAUUGUUCAUCAUGGAGGAACCCAUGGAUACCUCUGAGCCUCUAUCUGCAUUACCAUUCACUGGGCAGCAGUCUUUUGAGCCAAGUGGCAAAUUUGGACAGUAUCCAUCGAUGCAGAUGAACCACAUCCAGGCACUGGGGAAGUGGAGGACAUAGAACAGCUCAAUCAGUGUUUGAUCCAACACUUCCAUCUCAUUAAGACAAGUUUGAUUUUUCUUUGCUUUUUAUUUCAUGGAAUACAUGAGAAUCUCUUAACUGUUGGAGUUUCCAAGGAGGCAUACCUCAUGACUUCAGUUAAUGGAAAGAACAAAACUAAAAUGCUGUAUGGCCAAAGCCACAAAGGGAAGGAUCCACAAUUUACAUUCUUGGAGCUAUCAUCUGUACUGUACUGUUGUGAUCUACUGAUUGGCAUUGGCAUAGUAGUAGGGGUCAAGUGACAGAAUCCGUGCCAGCAGUCUCCAGGUUCAGAAGCAAUUCAAGACCCUGAUGAUAGCUCUCCAGCAACCAACACAUGGUGAUUGUGCCAACUUGUUGCUCAGUUAUAAUGCAGGGCCAGUGAUUGGUUUAAGUGAAGACCAUGGUUGAGAUCAUUUGUCUUUGGUCUAAUAGAAUUUGAGUCUAGUAGAAUUUGAGUCUCCAGGGAAAGAGCUACUUGACCAAAUUAAACUAGUAGCAGGUAGAGCAUGAAUGACAGCAUAUUAUACCAUCAAGAUGUUCUUAGAGCAGUGUAUGGAUGGAUCGAUUGUACUGCCAUCAGUUGUGACUGACGUUGUAUUCAAGGAGAAAGAGAAACUUGUUUAGAAAGCACUUUGAAAGUUUUUUGAGUACGGGGGUGCCCUGUAUCACCCCGUUAUGGUUGAACUUUCUCCUUCAAAAUUACCAGACUUGGCAGCAGUGGCAAAUUAUUGGGCUAAAAGACUUAAUCAGACAUAUUCUGGGUUCAAGGCUCCUAAUAUAAUACCUGGUGCAAACAUUAUACUUCCACUCAUUCAGAUGGUUGCAUCCUGCCAGGCAUCCAGUGGGACUGGGAAUAUGGACACUUGAACAUUAAACAUCCUGAAGAAUUUUGGAAUGACAGGUUACAAGUGAACAUAAUCAGUUCUCUAUAUUAAAAAAAAAAAAA
ensembl:lncRNA EBLN3P endogenous Bornavirus like nucleoprotein 3, pseudogene